CCUGCGAACUGAAAGGUCCCAGGUUCGAUUCCGGUCAAGGGCAUGUACCUUGGUUGCGGGCACAUCCCUGGUGUGGGGUGCGUAGGAGUCAGCUGGUCGGUGUCUCUCUCCCAUUGAUGUUUCUAACUCUCUCUCUCCUCUCAUUUCCUCUCUGUAAAAAAAUCAAUAAAAUAUAUUUUU